UAUUAUGCGAAAUACAUGAAAAUUCAUGAAGUGUUAAGUGGUAUAGUUACUAUAAAUAAGAAGACCAUUCCUAUGGUACUGUCAUUUCAAUGGGCUUAUCAUAAACCUUUUUUCGAGUGCGAAGUGAAGGACAAGUCUGGUGCUAGUAGCCACACUAAUUCCAGCUCUGCUA
rnacentral:ncRNA from 1 species